rnacentral:lncRNA from 1 species
CUUGGCACUCACAAACAUGCCCUGCACGGGAAGGCACGUCUGACAACGCACAGCACCAAACUACCUCUCACCAACUGCUCAGCGAUCUAUCUCUCUGUGCCCUUUGCAACACUGGCGCUUCCAAAAAUUAACCAACAAGCCGAGACCCUUCCCGACACCCCCCACGUUGUGCAUCGGGUGAGCCCCGCAUGCGGCUGCUCCACGCAGAGGUCCCAGCCCUCCGAGCAGGGCAAAGCCGAGCUCCCCCCGCAGCCCUUACCGGGGCUCAGCGCCGAGGGGCCUGGGGCAGCCGUGUGUCUGCCCGCACCGCACCGCACCGCACCGCACCGCCCCCGGCCCAGCCCAGCAGGGCCCAGCUCCUGCCGAGACACAGAACCCCAGGCCGCCCUCGCCUCGGCUCCCGCCCCCAUGCCCUGCCGCUCUCCGGCUCUCCCCGUCCCCACCUGCUCGGCGGGCCGGGCCGGGCUGCGCCUGGCGCUGGGGUAUGACAGGGCCGAAGGCUCCGAGCGAGACGCAGCUCCCCCAGCCCUAAACACAGAUCCGGGCCCUGCGCAGGCGCGGGGGGCGGUGACGCUGCGGGCGGGGAGCGCUUCGGUUGUGGCUGCUGCCCGGCUGGAGACCUGCGCUGUGCGGGACGGGGAAGGCUGGGUUGGCUUGUUUGUUGCCAUAGCACUGUGGUUAUUUUCUCUUCCCUGUUUGAUCGGUGGUAGUGGAGGUCUGGCUUCUACCAGCUAUUUCACCUUUUAUCAACUACAAGCAGCAGAAACCUAACAAUGAAGAAUGAUGCAAAUGUAACAAUCCUAUUGAUUGAACCAGAAAUUCCUCUCCAUGAGAAAGAUUGAAUGUACCUACUGAAACAGAAACCACUUAGGUAAUGGACUUAGACAAGGUAAAUAAUAUCAGCUAAAACUCCCACAGAAUGGACAGCAUGUUAUAUGUCUCAUGGGGAUAUCCUGAUAACAGUUCUUGUCAAAAGAACAGAAGUUGUACUGAAGUCAUGCUUCAGAGAAGCUUAAAAUGCAUCCUCGUGGCCUUCACAGAUUCGAAUAGUUCAGAUGUACUAAGAUGAAGGUCUUUUCACUUCAAGAUACUGAGCACAGUGUAUAGCUAUGGUUUUCCUCAACCUUAAGGAAGACAUAGACUGACAGCUCUUCUAUUGCCCUAAUAAAUAAUUAAAGACAGGAUGAUAUCCUGAGAUG